UUUCCGUAGGUGAACCAGCGGAAGGAUCAUUAUUGUAUAACCGGGGAGCGAGGGUUUUCGCUUACCCAACCGGUCCAGCACGGUCGAGUGCGCUGGCACACAUCCAUCCCACCCCUAUGUGCACCACGGCGGCGGUCGCUCUUAGACUUGUCUGGAGGGCGGUGUCCGCUUUCACUCAACCUAAAUAUGCAGUAAAAAAUGUAUUUACUGUUUUUUCGAUCACGGAAUCAAUACAACAUGCAACAACGGGUAUCUUGGCUCUCGCAUCGAUGAAGAACA
rnacentral:misc_RNA from 1 species